rnacentral:rRNA from 1 species
CCCACACCCCACCCCCGUCGUUGCUCCCGUGGUCCACGGACCAUUUCCCAAAUUUUCCCCACUCGCGAACCCUAACUUCGACCAGCCUCUCCCUCCAGAUCCCCUCCCCUCCUCUCGCCAGGAGCAGAACCCACCCGCUCGGACCGCGCCGCGUAAUCGCCAUGGCGAAUGAGGAACCCGUUGAUCCCAAGAAGUAUCUUGAGGAGCGGUGCAAGCCACAGUGUGUAAAGCCACUGUAUGAGUAUGAGAAAUGUAUCAAGAGAGUUGAGGCCGAUGAUACUGGGCACAAGCACUGCACUGGGCAAUAUUUUGACUAUUGGUCAUGCAUCGAUAAAUGUGUAGCACCAAAGCUCUUUGAAAAGCUGAAAUGAUAUUGGGGCGCUACUUUCAGUGAGUCAGCCUGGUCAUUGGCCAGAACCUUGUUCAAGUUGAAAUAUUUGUCGAGUCUGCAAAUUGUCCCGUGACUGUGUUUCGAUUUCAUGAACUUGUAAUAAGAGCAACUAUCUUGACACUUUUUGCAACCAUUGAUUUAUGUUUGGCUAAGCACUGAUGACAACUAUAACAAUUUGAUGUCUGUUGAUUACAGUUCUGGUACUGAUCAUUUUUCUCAUCAAGAUCAUAUCCAACGCAAAUUGACAAGAUUUCAACAACCCAUAGCUAAGAACUGUGCACGCACCAUGUAAUGACCCAUGAAUUGGAGGUGGUUUCUGGUUAUAAAAAACAUUUGAGGAAUAUGUUCUGUAAAUGUUUGAAUCAAAUAUUUGCUUGUAAAAUUACAUGAAAAGAAACAACACUAUGUGAUCAUGCUUACAGAUGUUUAAUUUGGCUUUCGGCCUAGGGUGGAAACAUAGUCUUUUUCCAUAUACAUCUGUAAAAGUUAUACUUUAUUUCUUAAUUUGUUAUCUAUACUCC